AAACGAUGAUUGCACUGUUCUCUGAGCAGAUUUGUUUAACUGCUUUUUGAUGGACAAUGCAGCCUACAAAGCUAUAUCUGAUC
rnacentral:snoRNA from 1 species